rnacentral:sRNA from 1 species
GGAUGAACAAUGUGCAAAUUAGCUAAUAUUUGACUUCUUGCCUGCACAAAGUUAGAAUGCCAAGGAUUGGAAUAAUCUAGUCCUCUGGAAAGGCAAAGCACCACAUCAGACAUGAUUGAAAUAACAUACCACAUGAGUUGUGAAAUUAAUGUUACAGGGAAAAACUGGGGGCUUGGAAUAAGCAAUUAUGGUCGGGAAAGGAAGUGUCAUAAUCUUUCAAGCAUGAUUGAAUUUUGAAACUGCGCAUUAUCUUCAGAGGAGAGAGAUAAUUUGUGGCUGACACAGACUCAUGGCUUAACUUUUACUUUGCUUUAGAUCGGCUACUCAAAAUACAAAAGUAAGAACAUUUUAGGUUUAUGGAAAAAUCUGUCCAGCAUACAUCAAAGAUUACUCAAAGACGUCACAAAGCUUCUCUCAGCUGACAUGCCAUCGAGACUGAGGAGACAAGGAAAACAGACUGGGGUCACGUGAGCCACAGUCACAUGAAGAGCGCCAGAGAUACUCAAGAGGCCAUCGCAAAUGCUGGUGGCAUGACUGAAGUUGUGGUAGGUAAAUAAAUCACGUUUAACUCCAGUCCUUUUUUUUUUUUUUUU